UACAGAGGUCUCAAGCGUUGUUCGGAUUCAUUGGGCGUAAAGGGUGCGUAGGCGGCGCGGUAAGUCGGGUGUGAAAUCUCGGAGCUUAACUCCGAAACUGCAUUCGAUACUGCCGUGCUUGAGGACUGGAGAGGAGACUGGAAUUUACGGUGUAGCGGUGAAAUGCGUAGAUAUCGUAAGGAAGACCAAUAGCGAAGGCAGCUCGCUGGGACGGUACUGACGCUAAGGCGCGAAAGCGUGGGGAGCGAACAGG
rnacentral:rRNA from 1 species